CAUGCCUUCUGCAGUGUUCUAUGAGUCAUAUGGUUCAUCCUGAUUUAGGCUGUAAGCAGAUUGCAUCAUGGCGCGGAUACCAGGAGGUGGGGAUCAUGGGGGUCCAUCCUAGAGGCUGACCCAAGCAGAGGAAAGGAGAUAAUUACUGGAACAAUGUCUCCCCAUAGGCAUGAGUAUAUGGAAUUUAGUGCAAAAGGAGAGGAAAUAGCCUUUGUUAGGGACACAGAGGGAUCUUUGAUAGUAAUAGUAUAUAGGUGCAGUUAGAGGAGUCCAUUUUGUGUUGCUCUAGAGGAACAUCUGAGGCUGCGCAAUCUCUAAGGAAAAGAGGUUUAUUUGGCUCACUGCUCUGUGGGCUGUACAAGAAGCAUGGCACCAGCAUCUGCUCCUGGUGAGAGGCUCAGGCUGCUUCCACUCAUGGCAGAAGCUUGCUCUGGCUAACAACCACUAUCAUCAAAGUUGUCUGAGGAAGACCUCCUGUUGCUGUGACUGACGGGACUCUUGGUGGAAGCCCUAUUCCCAUGUGCCCAUGGCUGCAGCUCCCCAAGGAAGCAGGACAUUGUUGGAUUCUCUAAGAAGCUCAGAGGAAGUUACUUCUCACUGUGGUGCCAUAUGGGAUUUGAAGUCGUUCUACUCAUGCUCUGUUUUUCAAUAAAGCUGCUUCUGCCUCU
rnacentral:lncRNA from 1 species